rnacentral:sRNA from 1 species
UCGUAGCCCGACUUGAGCGGAAAUCCUUUUUUGCCAAACUUCAAGUUCUAUUUAGACUGAAAUCGUCCGCAAAAAAGAUUUGGAGCGGAAGGCGGAUUAGCU